GGGGAUAUAGCUCAGUUGGUAGAGUGUCAGCCGCACAUGCACAAGGUCCUGGGUUCAAUCCCCAGCUCUCUCUA
rnacentral:tRNA from 1 species